UAAUAAAUAGUUUUAUUUAACUUUAUCUAGAGAGGAGAAACUACAGUAAAGCUGCUAAAUGUUCUCUCAGAUAAUCAGAUAAUAUAAAACUGCUGAGUUUUAGAUUAUGAUAUUCAGGGCUUGUCAAGUGUAUUUAAUCACUUAAUAAUUUAUUUUAUAAUUUGUGAAAAUAUUUGAUUGAUUCUGUUUGUUGUAGAUGUAACAUAUUAUAAACAAAUCAUUUAUCAAUCUUUUUUGUUUAUUUCAGAGCUUAGACUUGCUGCCAACAACAAGACACCAAGCACAGAGAUUUCAUCUUUAACUAGUAACAGUUCAGUCGACACUAAGGGCAGUUCCUCAUCAGACAAACUGUUGCUAAAACGCAAACAAAACCCUAAGAAAUGAGGAACUUGGACACCAAAAUCUGAGGACACCAAAAUAGUUUUCCUUGAUUUUUACAUCUAAAUAAAACAUCAGAUGUACAUUUUCAGUGAUCUCCGUUGACCUUUCUAUUGAA